AGGGUUGUAGCUCAGUGGUAGAGCAUGUGCUUUGUAUGCAGAAGGUCCCUGGUCUCAGGCAUCCCCA